rnacentral:tRNA from 1 species
CAGGUUAUUCUUAGUUGAAAUUUCAUUUACAUUGAAAAUUUUUAUUGUGCAAUUCAAUAUAACUUGA